GGAGGGGUGGCUCAGAGGUUAAGAGCACUGACUGUUCUUCCAGAGGUCCUGAGUUCAAUUCCCAGCACCCACA
rfam:Neotoma lepida isolate 417 scaffold_4827, whole genome shotgun sequence.